rnacentral:rRNA from 1 species
UGGGGAAUAUUGCGCAAUGGGCGAAAGCCUGACGCAGCCAUGCCGCGUGUGUGAAGAAGGCCUUCGGGUUGUAAAGCACUUUAAGCAGGGAGGAAGGCUCCGUAGUUAAUACCUGCGGAGAUUGACGUUACCUGCAGAAUAAGCACCGGCUAACUCCGUGCCAGCAGCCGCGGUAAUACGGAGGGUGCGAGCGUUAAUCGGAAUUACUGGGCGUAAAGCGCGCGUAGGCGGUUUGUUAAGUCGGAUGUGA